rnacentral:rRNA from 1 species
GACAGAGGAUGCAAGCGUUAUCCGGAAUGAUUGGGCGUAAAGCGUCUGUAGGUGGCUUUUUAAGUCCGCCGUCAAAUCCCAGGGCUCAACCCUGGACAGGCGGUGGAAACUACCAAGCUGGAGUACGGUAGGGGCAGAGGGAAUUUCCGGGUGGAGCGGUGAAAUGCGUAGAGAUUGGAAAGAACACCAAUGGCGAAAGCACUUUACUGGGCUAUUACUGACACUGAGAGACGAAAGCUAGGGUAGCAAAUGGG